rnacentral:rRNA from 1 species
AGUGAACGCUGGCGGUAGGCCUAACACAUGCAAGUCGAACGGCAGCACAGUAAGAGCUUGCUCUUACGGGUGGCGAGUGGCGGACGGGUGAGGAAUACAUCGGAAUCUACUUUUUCGUGGGGGAUAACGUAGGGAAACUUACGCUAAUACCGCAUACGACCUACGGGUGAAAGCAGGGGAUCUUCGGGCCUUGCGCGAUUGAAUGAGCCGAUGUCGGAUUAGCUAGUUGGCGGGGUAAAGGCCCACCAAGGCGACGAUCCGUAGCUGGUCUGAGAGGGUGAUCAGCCACACUGGAACUGAGACACGGUCCAGACUCCUACGGGAGGCAGCAGUGGGGAAUAUUGGACAAUGGGCGCAAGCCUGAUCCAGCCAUACCGCGUGGGUGAAGAAGGCCUUCGGGUUGUAAAGCCCUUUUGUUGGGAAAGAAAAGCAGCAGGUUAAUACCCCGCUGUUCUGACGGUACCCAAAGAAUAAGCACCGGCUAACUUCGUG